AAAGCAAAUAGAUCUUUUAUUUAUAAAAUAUAUCACUUUACAUUCCAUUGAUAAUAUAACUUAAAUAUGAAAGUCAAACUGUAUGAGCACUCUGUGACCUUACUAAUCAAAACACAUUCCCACAAAUUUCAAAUUUAGAAAAACUCCUACCCGUUUCCACCAUUAUUCUGAGUCAUAUUAUAUCUUGUAGCUGGCAUCAUGUUCACAUUGUUAAGACCAUUGGUAUACAUCAAGUUUUAAUCGUUGAUCGCAUCCGAUCCCCCCACCAUCAUGUUCUGGUCAUUGUUCAUCAUCAUAUGAUCGGCUGGAACCAAGUUUUGAUCAUUGUUGAUCAUCAGAUUUGCCGCCGGUAGCAUCAUGUUUGUAGGGUUACUACUGAUAGGCAUGACAUUAGAGACCAUGUUUGGAUUAUUGGGAAUCAUGGAAUUGGACAAGGGAAUGUUUGGAUUAUUGUUGUUGAGCAUGUCACGAAGCAUCUUCAUAUAAGCUGCAGGAUUAACCAUGUUAGGAUUAAUCAUGCUGGGACUAAUCACGUUUGGAUUAACCUUGUUUGAAUUAACCCUAUUCUUGUUCGGAUUAACCAUGUUUAUGGGACAACCGAUAGCAUUUAAGGGGAUAGAUUCAAAUGGAAGUCCAGUUCCAUUGGAAAAGCUUCCAAGAAAAAGUUGAUCAUCAGAAUUAGGAUUAAUAUUGUUCUCUUCAGCAUCAUUUUCUUUGGCGACUUUU
rnacentral:lncRNA from 1 species